AAACUGUUAAGUCAGUAGCUAGAACAGGUGCUGCAUGGCUGUCGGUCAGCUCGUGCGUGGGUGUCGGUUAAGUCCUGCAACGAGCGCAACCCUCGUGGCUAGUUUGAAUUUCUCUAGCCAGACGCCCGCAAAACGGGGAGGAAGGUGGGGAUGACGUCAAGUCAGCAUGGCCCUUAUACCCUGGGCUACACACACGCUACAAUGGGUGGUACAAUUGGUUGCGACAGAGCGAUCUGGAGCUAAUCUAUAAAGCCAUCCUCAGUUCGGAUUGCAGGCUGCAACUCGCCUGCAUGAAGCCGGAGUUGCUAGUAACCGCAGGUCAGCAUACUGCGGUGAAUACGUUCUCGGGCCUU
rnacentral:rRNA from 1 species